AGCAGUCGCCGCGGGAAUACGAAGGGGGCUAGCGUUGUUCGGAUUUACUGGGCGUAAAGCGCACGUAGGCGGACUUUUAAGUCAGGGGUGAAAUCCCGGGGCUCAACCCCGGAACUGCCUUUGAUACUGGAAGUCUUGAGUAUGCUAGAGGUGAGUGGAAUUCCGAGUGUAGAGGUGAAAUUCGUAGAUAUUCGGAGGAACACCAGUGGCGAAGGCAGCUCACUGGACCAUUACUGACGCUGAGGUGCGAAAGCGUGGGGAGCAAACAGGAUUAGAUACCCGAGUAGUCCCUGUCUCUUAUAC
rnacentral:rRNA from 1 species